rnacentral:lncRNA from 1 species
UAUUUGCAUCUAUAUUUUUUUUUUUGGAUGAGAAUUCAAAUAUGGAUAUGUGUUGGAUGCUUAUUUUUGUUACUAUAUCCGCUAAAAACGGAUUCGAAUCACUAAUAUGCACAUAUCAAUACCAUAGUUAGUUAAUUCGGAUUCGACAAAAAUUCGGUAUGGAUAUAAUACGAAUAAAAUUCGUAUCCAAAUUUUUAAAUUUGUUGAAAAAUACGGCUAAAAAACAGAUUCAUCAAUUAUUCAGAUAUGUGAUUUAUACAGAUAUUAUACGUUCAUCAAUUGAACAUUCGGGAUAAAAAAUUCGGCUAUUAAAUUAACUUUUUUUUUCUCUAAAUUUAUGCUAUU